AAGUCAUAAUGUGGGGCAUAAUGUAAGCAUAUUCUUAAAUCUAUCUCAUGCUUCAUACAAAGAUUUAUUGUUGUUCUACCUAAAGCUAGCAAUCUGAUUUCGCAUGU